rnacentral:rRNA from 1 species
AGCAGCCGCGGUAAUUCCAGCUCCAAUAGCGUAUAUUAAAGUUGUUGCAGUUAAAAAGCUCGUAGUUGAAUUUCGGGACCAAUUUGUUGGUCGUGCCUCGGUACGUACUGGUAUUAUUGGUUUCUCCCUUCUGAAGAACCAUGAUGCCAUUAAUUUGGUGUCGUGGGGAAUCAGGACUGUUACUUUGAAAAAAUUAGAGUGUUUAAAGCAGGCAUACGCUUGAAUACAUUAGCAUGGAAUAAUGAAAUAGGACGUUUGAUUCUAUUUUGUUGGUUUCUAGGAUCGACGUAAUGAUUAAUAGGGAUAGUUGGGGGCAUUAGUAUUCAAUUGUCAGAGGUGAAAUUCUUGGAUUUAUUGAAGACUAACUACUGCGAAAGCAUUUGCCAAGGAUGUUUUCAUUAAUCAAGAACGAAAGUUAGGGGAUCGAAGACGAUCAGAUACCGUCGUAGUCUUAACCAUAAACUAUGCCGACUAGGGAUCGGAUGAUGUUAAUUUUUAAUGACUCAUUCGGCACCUUACG